rnacentral:lncRNA from 1 species
UGUGUUUAGAAUAUUUUAGGUUGAUUUAUUCAAAGAAGAUACCAUAAUAUGCAGCUGAGGCUCAGAAGAUACGAAAGACUGGAAAGGAGUGUGUUCGUCAUGGAGGAGUACACACAAUAAUAACCUACUUGCUUGGGGAUGAUUAGAUGCUACUUAAAGGCUUGUAUAUUGCUUAUAUCUCAAAUUCACAACCAGUAUUUCUAUUCUAUAAAUGGACAAGCUACAGCACAAGGUAAAGUAACUUACAUCUUUUCUCUUUUUCUUCUACUUGCUAUGUGAAAGUUCUGCACAAUUUUCUUUUUCUUGCCUUCUGUUUCUGUCCUUCUAGACAGGCCUGAGUACAUGUUUAAAUUAGUAGCCUUAAUUUCAAAAGAGGUAGGAUGGUUAGCAUUAAUAAGAAUACAUAAUUUGAAAGCAAAGACAUUUUUGGCAGGAUUCCUUUUCUAGUUGCAUUACUCUGAAAGAAUUAACUAAACCAAAGUAUGUUGAAAAGUAUUUAUGUCUCGGUGUUUAAUGAAACAAGAGUCAGAUCCUUUGUUAAAACUGGUAUGACUCCAAUUCCUAUCUUACUGAAAGAAAUGCAUAAUUUAAUUUUUUCUAAUUAAAGUGUCUUGAGGUCGUAACUGGGACCAGAAUAAUUUUCUUCUCAAGCUGUAUGUGGCAUGUCCAAUACAACACAGGGAGUAUCAGGAGAGAAUUGUAAUGUCAGAUUUAAGAGAAUUUAACAAAGGCUAUUUUUCUGUACAUAUAUACCUGAAGCAUCAGGAGUAAAGAGUAAGUAACAGUGCUGCAAAAAAUCCUCAAGAUAAAUAAUGGAGUUAAUUAAAAAAAUUGAAAUGCUUUUGGUUAGACCCCCACUUAAAGAGGGUAUCCUUGUCUGGAUUCUUAGUUCUGUAUCAAAUGCCUAUUCACAUUCUAAUCCAUUUUACUAAUCCCUCCUUUUACAUCCUGUAAUACUCUGGUUGUAUUCAAUUUAGUGGUUGCCAUUUUGCAUGUUUAUAUAGCAUUCCAUAUGAAAUAGCUCACAACAGUUUCUAUUUCAUACCUAAAAAUUCCCCCUUAACUGCAGCAAUUCUUAGUAUUAUCAAAAGCAUGCUAAACACAACAGGUUAAAACAAGAAAUGAAGACUACAACUGAUACUGCAGGAAAAAUUUGUGUAGGCAGUAGUCAUCACAGAUGGGAUUCAUUCAGUAUACUGCUGUUAGUUCUACCACCCACAUAAUCCCUAUUAUCAUUUCCUAGCAAACACACUUCAUUAGCUCUAAAGAAAUCUCCAUUGUCUGUUCCAGCAGAUACCUGAAGUUAUUGUGAUGAUAUAAAAAUAGUUAAAGGCCAUUGUGAUGAUUUAAAAUAGUUAAAAAGUUACUUUAGGUUUUUUGAAGGUCAUAAUAAUUAAAAGUGUAUUUUCAUUUGAUGACAACCAGUAAUUUGAAGAACCACCACAAAAUUUAUCCUUUACUACUAAAAGCAUUCUUCCUGCGAGCAAGCAUUGAGCAUUAGGAUAUUGUGGUACAAUUGUUCUCCCUGUUCCCUACUUGUUUGUUCGUUUGUCCCAAUUAAGUAAGUGAUACUAUAAACUUGAGAAAGCGAUGUGCUGUCACAGAGGAAGGAAGCAAGGUUCUGCCUUUUUGCUGAAGCACAAGCUGACAUUCCUGAUUUGUAUACAGGGUGGAGUUCUGCAGUCUUUUAUUCCUGUGAGUGUUGACAGUGAUGACAGUUCUUAUGGGAGAGACAGUACUUUGAUCAUGUGCAUAGCUGGGUAUGAGGAGGAAACUUCCAUUAAGUUAUUGUAAGGGACACAGCGACUUAGGAAAGCUGCAUGAGCAAAUGGGAAGCUAGAAAUUCUGAUUCUCCUGCCCCUUUUCUGACUUAAAAAAAAAAAAAAAAAGCUGCUGUGCUGUAAUGGAAGUUACAGAAGUUAUAAAGCAGCUUUCUCUGUAAAUGGGAUCAAGAGAUGGAUCCAAAUAAAUAGUAAGAAACACACACACACACAACCCCCCGAAACAAACCCUUAGUGCUUAUUUUGUUACUUUAGAGGGGAAAAAGACCCAAAAUUAUGAAAAAUUGCCUGAUUCAGUUCACAAAUAGUUGUAUCAGCACAACUACAAGGAGCAAGGCACUGUGGUAUAAGGGUGGAAACUUCACAAGCUGCUGUAGCUGCCAGAGUACUCAUGCUGUUAAACCACAACCAAAGACAUCAUAGCACCCUAGCAGAAUUUAAUUAAAACUUCCAAAUAAUCCAUUCUUGUGGUGGUCAGUUCAUUUUCAGUUAGGGGAGAGUAAUUGUUCCCAAGUAGUUUGCCUGCAGCAGUGGAGGAGAGUACAGGAAUUUCUUGUUUAUGAGUUCUUCAUAAAUUGCCAACUCAGAAUCACAUGACUCUAUAUUCUUAAAGUUAAGAGAAUAUUAGCUGCUAAAUGUCAGUUGCUAAAGGUUAUGGAAUUAUAGUACGCAGAGCUUGCUGUUCAAGCACUAUCCUGUCACUUCUUGUUCCUCCAUUUACCAAAUUGUUAACCAACAUAUUUAAUGCCUCAGGCAAUCUCCAUCUUACUAUUCUUUACUUCCUAGUAGCUUUACAGAUUUCCGUGAAUGAAACAAUAGAGAUUUCACACAUUGAUUUCCUCAGUUAGUUUCAUUUCAGCCAUCUGGUGGUGAUGUCACAUAGAAUCACCUGUGUCUGACAAGCACCUGAUAGUUUUCCUUCCUUGGGGACUAAAGUAGAGUACACACGAGCUCUGUAUCAGGCUGUAUUUGUACUACAAACAGUGGUUUGCUAUCAUGAUUCAGAUAAAUAGGAGACUAGUUCAGCUGAUUUAGUUACUUUACAUCAUUUCCUGCAACUUAACUCAUCCUGCUAGUUAACAUGAACACACAUUUGGGUUUUUUCCCAAGUUAGCCAUUGAAGAGGUUAAAUAGGUUGGGCCCUGUGACUAAUGUUUCCUUGGCUCUGACUGUAUUUUGCUGCUUCCCUAGAGCAUUCCAUAAUACUUAUUAGCAUGCAGGGGAUACUCUGGGAUUCCUAAUUGUAGGACAACGCUUGCAAAUGUUCUAGAAAUCUCAGGGCUCCGCAGCGUGAAAUCCUGGCCAUAAGUAAGACACAGCAUGGAGAGGCAAGUACAGCAGUACUUAUACUGUAAAAAGACCACAUGCAUUAGCAUUGUCAUUAUUAAUACAGCUCCCUACUGCAAAGCUUUCAUAAUCUGUAUUGAUUUUAAAAAAUAAAAAAUAGCAGUGCUACAGCAAAACUUGCUUAAGAUCGUGCUGCAGUAAUUGAAUAAGGCUUUUCAACUGCUACAGGAAUUAGUUGUUCCACUAACAUUGUGAAGGUAGUAAACAGUUAGGUUUCUGUCACUGCUGAUGCCUUACCACAGGCAACAAAAGAAAAAUGCAGUUGCUGAACUAUUUUACUACACAAAGUUUAAAUGUAAUCCUGUUUUAGAAAUGUGAGCAAUAUAAAGAGGCAGUAGCUAAAUGGAAACAGCAUGAUCCGUCAAUGAGCAGAAAGCAUUUCCCCCACCAGUGUUUAACUGUGAAUAAUGAUGAAUAUUAUCUCCAUGGAUUAAAGUGCUGAUCUUAGACAUUUGCAUAGCUAAUAGAUUUUGUUCAGGAGCUGAAGCUUCUCUAGAUAGACACUUACUUGGAACAAGAAAACCUUUUUAAGUUAGCUUUAGAAAUCACCUUAGUUAAAUUAGAAAAAAAAAGCACGUAAGAGCAUUCACUUUAAGGGUACUCCUUUACAAUGUUUCUCUACCUAGGGCUACAGCCCGGAUCCUAGCGCUGCAAAGAAAACUGGUUACUCCUCCUACACCUCGCUGUAAGUAAAAAAAAUGGUAGUUAUGAUACCUUAGCUAACUUUACUCUGUUGUCUUUUACACUAGGUAGUAUGCUUCAGUACAGAGAAGCAGAAAGUAUAUAAAUAGGACUACAGCUGUUAUACAUCGUUGUGUUAAUUUCUGCUUUUGAGUCAAGGCACUGAAAGUUGAUUUCCUCCUUCUGUAUCCUACUCAGGUAAAAAUAAAUAAAUAAAUAAAUAAAGAACCACAAGAAAACUCUAUUUAAACAAAAGCACUAAAUUUACUUCCCUUAUUUGUUGAAAAUAUUUGUAUGUUCAGAAUCACAAACAGGAAGGAACAUUCAGCAACCUUCAUUGAAAUUUCUGACCUAGAUGCACUAGUGGAAGAACAACCAGUUGCAGGUAGCAUUAUUUCUGUAAAAAUUGCAGUUUUCUAACCCAGACAUUGCUGCCUAUACGUACUUUGUUUCCCUACUAGAAAAUCAAGCAAGUCAAAUACCAAGAAGCAUUAAGAGUUGAAGCACCUUAAGUUUACCUAAAAGUGCAGUUAACUGUGCUCCCAGGGCAGGUAAGCAGAAGCUCCUCUUACUUUUUCAAUUAACUUCUAGGAGAUGCGACAGAAUGUUCAUAUAGCUCAGUCCCAGUGUGCUAGGUUCUAGCUGAGGUGAAACAAAUCCUGCAGUGAUUAAUGUUUUUUCCCUAGCUUGUUUUCCCUCAGCUCUGUAAUUGAAAAUUGCUAAAGCAGGUCAUUUGAAGUAUGUGUAGUAUCUUAGGAACUAUAACUUAGUGAUCAUAAAUUUGCAUUAUAAAUGCAGGUAUAGCUCUUUACCUGGCAUAAAUUUUCAAUCUGAAGUGCUUAUUAACUACACCACAACUCUGAUCCACCCUGUAAUCACCACUGGCCUAGUAUCUGUUCAUUUGAAGCUCCAUUUUAUUCUAGUUUUUAUCCUCUGUUUCUUUCUUACUGAUGCUUUUGGUUUUAUGUAAAAAAAAAAAAAAAAAAAAAA